rnacentral:misc_RNA from 1 species
CUAGGAACUGCCUUCUUUGCUUCAACAUUCCUCCCGUAUAUCAAAUGUUUUUCCAUCACAACUCUCUCAGCAACGGCAGGGUCUGCAAACACAACAAAACCAAAGCCACGGGCACGACCAGUAGCUCGAUCCUUCAUUAUCACAGCACCCACUACUUCUCCAAAAGCCUGAAAAUACUCUCUAAGUUGGUCUUCAUUUGUGUCCCAUGAUAACCCACCAAUGAAUAGCUUUCCAAGCUCCAUUUUCAUUUCUGGUAAAAAAAAAUAAUAAAACAAAGCUUGAAUAUUUACAGAUAUUUACGAAAUGGGUACUCUUGGAUUCAAUCCAAAAGCAUAAUACAACUUUAACUGAUCAAAG